AGCAGCCGCGGUAAUUCCAGCUCCAAUAGCGUAUAUUAAAGUUGUUGCAGUUAAAAAGCUCGUAGUUGAAUUUCGGGGUCAAUAAGUUGGUCAUGCCAAUGGUAUGUACUGGCUUUAUUGAUUCCUACCUCUUGACGAACUGUGAUGCCAUUAAUUUGGUGUUGCAAGGAAUCAGGACUGUUACCUUGAAAAAUUAGAGUGUUUAAAGCAAGCUUACGCUUGAAUACAUUAGCAUGGAAUAAUGAAAUAGGACGUUUGAUCCUAUUUUGUUGGUUUCUAGGAUCGACGUAAUGAUUAAUAGGGAUAGUUGGGGGCAUUAGUAUUCAAUUGUCAGAGGUGAAAUUCUUGGAUUUAUUGAAGACUAACUACUGCGAAAGCAUUUGCCAAGGAUGUUUUCAUUAAUCAAGAACGAAAGUUAGGGGAUCGAAGACGAUCAGAUACCGUCGUAGUCUUAACCAUAAACUAUGCCGACUAGGGAUCGGAUGAUGUUAAUUUUUAAUGUA
rnacentral:rRNA from 1 species